GAGAACCGCUGGAGUGACUCGCUUCCGGCCCGCCUGGCAGCCUCUGGAAGCAAAUUCUGAUUUCUUAUUCCCCCAGUUCCCGGGUUGUGCCCACCGCGCCCAGGGGGUCCUCCAAUGUCCCCAGGUCCCCACCCAGAAUCCCAUACUCAAGGGGGGGCCGGGCAGCUGCUUGAGUCUCUGAGCCCCAUUGGGAGCCAAGUCACUUCUGCUACAAGUUCUUCCUGCUACAGGUGGCUGGCAGUUCACCCAAGCAGGUGACAAGGUGAGGUGACCGUCACUGUGUCCCAAGGCACGGGCAUCUCCUCGCCUUUCUCUGUGCUGCUCUGGGUCUCCUAGAGGGCAGGGUGGGGCCCACGCCCAGGCCCUCCUGAGCUCCACCCUCCCAGUCCAGCUACCACCUCCUCUUCCCACCCAGAUGCCCUGGGGGCCAAGCCCGUGGGGCAGGGAAGGGGGUGCUGAGUGGAGGUGGGGGUGGGAGGCCCACCUCUGGACCCCACAUCAUUCUAGAUUUAACCACCAGCAUGCAGACACCCAAGGGUUGACCUGAUGGACCCAGAAACCAUGUCCAGCUUUUUAAUGCUUGCUGGUGCUAUGUGACUGACACCCUUGUAACCCCCCUCUCUGGGCACUAGCCACCUGUUCCUCUGGGACUGUGCCCACCCAGCUUUCUUUUCCUUGUUGAUUUAGAAUAGUUCUUGGCCUACCAGGGACGCAAAGCGGAUGCUGGAGGGGCUUCUGAGGCUGCAGGGGACAGGGUGUGGAGGGGCUGGUGGGUCAGGCUGCACCAGGGUGUCCCAGUCUGGUUCGGAAAGGGCCAGGGUGCAAGACAGCUGGCCCAGGGCUUCGGGUCCCGAGCAGCCUGCCUCAAUAAUGGACCUGCGCUCGCUCACUGUGUCCUGGGCUUAUGAAGUAACGUGGUGGCUUGCGUUCAUGAUUGGGAAAUGUGAAGAUGUCUAACAAAGAAGAGCUGUUGUCUGGGGAACUGGUAGCAAAUUAGGUAUAAUUCUGCCACCUCGCAGAACCAGCACAUGCACAGGUCCUUGAAAGAUACAGAUAAAGGCCUCACAUACAUCCCUAAGUUGUUUUUACAGGAAGCAGGUCCCCCUUCAGAUGAAAACUGCUGACCACGGGCACGUAGACCCUAGGACUGGUUGAAACCAGGAGGGUGAUGAUGCUUGAAAUGUCACCUUGAUGCCAGCCGAUCCGAGACUGCUCCGUGAGCUGACCACACCCGGCUCCUCGCACAGGAUAAACUCCUCUCCACCCCCUCCACGGGGCGCCACACAGUCUUGAGGGCAGGAGCCUGCUGUGACCCCCAUUGCCUGGCAAAGCAAGGAAAGCUUUUCUUUUCUACUGCACCCAACACUGUCUCCACGUUUCUAUUCAGCACGGGUGAGCAAAGGCUGUGUCGACAACGGAAAUUUGGGGACUUGUCUGGGAUGGACUCGUGGGCAGGCAGCCCCACAGGGCCCCUUGACUUGAUCAGACACUCUGAGGUUUCUCCCCAAGCCAGCCUCCUUUGGGAGAGUGGAGGGUUGGAGGACCCCUCUGCAGGCCAGAUCGCCAGGGAUCCCCCGCCGUAGGGCUGUGCCUGGAUCAUACCCGGACUGCCGUCUCUGUACUUGGAGCUCUGGGGCAGGUAUGGAAGAUAGGGGACGGGCUGCCCUAGCAGCUGCCAAGGCCACCUUUGCCUUGAGGACACCCCCCUCUCCUUCUGCCCACACCGGUCCGGACUUCCUGCUCUGAGAAAAUAUUGUGGGGAAGAAAAACAGUAGCAUUUGGGACAUUGAGACACCUCUGCCAGCACUUCAAACACUGACCCCGAGAGAACAAAAAUAUUCUUAGGAUAAAACUUGAGGUUAACUCUUAUCCUGUCCUUGAAGUACAAACACAGCCCGCUUUGCCUGGGACUUCAGCCUUGGGUUAAUUAGUGCAACUUUUAUCCAAGAAAAAGAAAAAAAAAAGAGGGAAGGAAAAGAAGCCUUUUGAAAUUAAAUGUUGAAAUUUCACUAUUCUGACUGAUAUUCCUAAAUGGAUAAGUUUAAUUGCAAUGCCUGGUUCAUGGAUUAUAAAAACACGAAACAGAGAGAUCUCUGUCUGUCUGGAUGUAUGUAUGUCUCAGUGUGUAUCUUUGUCCUUGGAUGAUAUUGCUGAGGUACAUUUGUAAAUGAGGUCUAUUUAAUUGGCGUAAAGAAAAGUGAUCACAAAUGAAACAAGUCUAAAUUUACCUACUUUUGUCUACUUGCAAGAGGGAAACUAAAGAUGUUUGCGUUUAUUAGACACAUGUCUUGUGCCACUUUGAGAAAAGCAAUUGUGCUUUGGGAAAAUGCACGUUUUUAAAGGUUAUAGAAUUUGUCCUGAAGUUUGCUAAUCAGAGAAUGCCAACAUGCCAGACCGUUCCCAAUCGGUUUCUUCUUGGUUCUCACUAUAGAUUAAGGGGUUUGUAUAUGUGUGUAUCAGUUUCUUUAUCCAUUCUUCCAUCAGAGGACACUUAGGUUGUUUCCACAUGUUGGCGAUUGAAUACAGAAAAGAACAGGGAGCGCAGAUGUCUCUUAGAGGCAGCAGUUUUGUAUCCUUUGGCUUUAUACCCAGAGGUGGACUUGCUGGGUCACAUGGCAGUUCUCUUUUUCACUCACUGAGGAAUCCGCAUCCUCUUUCCCUAGUAGCUGCCCGAAUUUACAUUCCCUGAAUGUCUUCAUGAUACCUGGUAAACAAGCACUGUAUUAGUUUCCUGAGGCUGCUGUAACAAGGUACCACCAACUGGGUGGCUCAGCACAGCUGAUUUUCUUCUUUCACAUCCUGGAAGCUCAAAGUCCCAGAUCCAGGUGCUGGCAGGGUUGGCUCCUCUGCGGUUGGCAGGGAGAGUCUGUUCUAUGCCUCGGCCCCAGCCUGUGGCAGUCUCAGGCCGCGCUUGGCUUGGAGACGGCUGCCUUCUCUCGGUGUCUUCGUAGCGACUUCCAUGUGUGUCUUUCUCUGUGUCCACAGGCCUGCUUUUUGGAAGGACCUCAGACAUACAGGACUAGGGCCCACCCUAGUACCCUAGUACCCUCGCAUCUUAUUUCCAAACGAAGUCACAUUCACAGGUGCUGGCAGGUAGGACUUCAACCUCUUUCAGGAAUCGGGAUUCCCCCAGUCACAGGCGUCCGCCUGUUUUCUGUAGGACAACCAUUCAUUCGAAAACAGAUGCUGCUUUCCCUGAUUAAUCCCACCGGCCGCCCAGCAUCAUGUGAUGUUCUUCCAACAUCCUUCUUAGAUUCCCUAAGUACUGAGAUGGCCAUUCUGCAUUCCUGGAGUCCUAGUGAGCUCACCACGUUCCUCCACGUGCUUUCUGGAACCAACCGCCAAAGAAAUAGCUUCUAGAGGUAGCUGGAAAGGAACACAGGGACAGGCGUCAAUUGCAUGCCUUGGGAGGGACUGGAGAUAAAAUACAUAAAGGAAUAGAAAGCCCCAGAGACUGGGUCUGAGGCUGAGUCGGCAGAGACGGCGGCCAGAGCAGCGCCUCUCUGCCUGCCUGCCCCCAUCCCACCCCCGGCCACUAGGUCAAGGCCAGGGGUGCAGGAGCAAGUGGGGCAUGUCCCUCUGGCCCCAGGUACGUGAAGAGUGAGGGUUAGGAGCUGCGGUGGGGAUUAGAGGGUAGAGAGUCAGUUCAACGUGCAGAGACUGUAAUGGAGACAAAUGCAUAAUGAUGUGUGCCCACCCAGCCACUGGUCUGGCCACACUUGCCACCUAUUUUAUCAAAACCAACCAUGCAGUUUCUUCUCUGAUGGAAAUGAAUGUACAAGGGUGAGUCAAAACUUAUCCGCUCUCCGGUUAUGUUAAAACUUCUGUCGGCUGCACUGUCUUAUCAGUGCUUUCCGGUCAAGGCUACUGUCUCCCGAGUCACUGCUGUGCAGGUGUGAACGUGUUACAUCAGUUCAUAUGUAACUGUGGUGCGAGCAACAGUGGAUGCCCCAUUUGUGACUUGCACGAGAGAAGAGCAGCGUGCAGUGAUUGGUUUUAUGUGGUCUGAGGGUGUACCUGGUGCCAUUAUUUAUCGAAGACUUUGUGCGCAGUAUGGAGAAAGUGUUCUGUCGUGAAGAAGUAUGAAUGGAUACAGAAGUUCAAGGCAGGACCCACAAGUGUUAGCCAUCAAGAAGGAGCUGGACACCCAUCCACAUCCACAGCUGACGUCAACAUUGAGCGUACACAUGAAAUGAUUCUGUUGAACAGACAAGUGACAGUCUUCUGGGAUUCUCAAGGGCCAGUAUUGGAAUGUUAUCAGGAAAAACGUUCAACAGUCAACAGUGCACAUUACAGUGAGAUGCUUAGGAAAGAGCUGAAGCCUAAACUUCGGAUUAAACGCAGAGGGCUGCUAUCCAAGGGCGCUGUGAUCUUGUGUGACAAUGCAUGUCCGCAUUCUACCCCCCACCUCCCCCGUCGACACUCUGAAAAGACUUCGUUUUGAGGUGUUAAAGCAUCCUCCCUAUAGACCUGAUCUUGCUCCAUCAGAAUUUCACCUGUUUGGUCCCCUGAAAGCAGCCCUACGAGGACGAAGUUUCACUUCUAAAGAAGAAGUGAAGACACUGCACUCGCAGGCAGCAGCUCAGCCUAAAACAUGUUUUAAUGAGGGAAUAUGAAAGCUUGUUGACACAUGGACAACGUGUAUUAGAAAGCAAGGAGGUUAUGUUGAAAAAUGAUGUAUCUGUCUUUUUCUAAAAGUUAAUGUAAUGCCAGAGUGAGGAUAAUUUUUGACUCACCCUCAUAUCAUGGAAGAGGCAGUAUUCACUUAAAACAAUAAUAACACUUUACACGGUAUUACUCCACUGUUCUUUUUUUUCUUUUUUCAACGUUUUAUUAUUUUUUUAUUUUUUACAAUAAACUGCAUAUAUUUAGAGUGUAC